UCUUGGUCAUUUAGAGGAAGUAAAAGUUGUAACAAGGUCUCCGUUGGUGAACCAGCGGAGGGAUCAUU
rnacentral:rRNA from 4 species